UUCAGGUUUCAAUAGGAAAUGAAGCAAUGCUGACAUCCGCACAGUUGUGGACGUGGAGAUGACAACACCAUAAAAUACUCUCGGACCUUUAGUGACACAUUUUCUGGUCCCUUUCCUGCAAGGUCCCUUGUGGCUCUUCUGGACACAGUUCUUCCCUUUUCUCUUCUCUCUUCAGCAGCAGGAAAAGCUUCAGGCCUCUCUGUGGGGGCCAUCACAGCCAUUGUGACCAGAGUUGUGCUCGGUGUGAUUCUGGUGGCCGCAGUGACCUGUUUCCUGUUCCUCAGAAGGACUGGCAGGGGCCCCAUCAUCAGAGAGCACUGGCCCCCUGCAUCUACUCCAGGUCAAGGACCCUUGGACAGCUCCACUUCCAUGGACUUACUAAAAUGUGACAUGGACAUUUAUGAUCAGAUCAACCACAAAGGACAUGUGACUUCUUAGUUUUCUCUAGAAAUUUCUGCAUUUGGAUCAAGGAAAUUCCUUCUAGAACCUCAGACUCUGGCUUGUGGUCAGAGAUGGACCCUAAGCCCCAAGGAGACCGUGACUUGGGGAGGAAGGGCUAUUGUGGGUUUCUUGGGAUCCAGACAGGCUGACCAAGGCUCUGGAUG